AGUGAACGCUGGCGGCAGGCCUAACACAUGCAAGUCGAACGGUAGCACAGAGGAGCUUGCUCCUUGGGUGACGAGUGGCGGACGGGUGAGGAAUACAUCGGAAUCUACCCUGUCGUGGGGGAUAACGUAGGGAAACUUACGCUAAUACCGCAUACGAACUGAGGUUGAAAGCAGGGGACCGCAAGGCCUUGCGCGAUUGGAUGAGCCGAUGUCCGAUUAGCUAGUUGGUAAGGUAAAGGCUUACCAAGGCGACGAUCGGUAGCUGGUCUGAGAGGAUGAUCAGCCACACUGGAACUGAGACACGGUCCAGACUCCUACGGGAGGCAGCAGUGGGGAAUAUUGGACAAUGGGCGCAAGCCUGAUCCAGCCAUGCCGCGUGUGUGAAGAAGGCCUUCGGGUUGUAAAGCACUUUUGUUGGGAAAGAAAAGCUAUCGGUUAAUACCCGGUGGUACUGACGGUACCCAAAGAAUAAGCACCGGCUAACUUCGUGCCAGCCGCCGCGGUAAAAC
rnacentral:rRNA from 1 species